rnacentral:lncRNA from 1 species
AUUUUGACAGAUGGUUUACAAUGAGUAAAAGCUUCAUUGAUUAGUAACAAAUAUUACAUUAUGCUUAAUAGAUCAGUAGUUAAUGCUUACAAAUGUCAUUAAACUUUCAUCAUUUUAUUAGUACCUUUAUGAGCAGUCAUCUCAAAUGACCUGAAUGCAUCUUAUUUACACAUCUUUACAAAUCACUUUUUAAUUAUUUGUUCAUAUUUUUGCCAUACCCAAUCUAAAGUUGGAACUUUUCACGAUUUGUAAAUUUUUAUAAACGUUUACUGAUCAUUUGGUACCUUUAUGGACACUGGACCUUUAGCUGUUGUAACAACGUUUGUGUAAAGGGUGGUUAGUUAAGUUUAUCUGCAUCACACUAGAGUUACACAGGGAGUUUAUCACACACAUUAUUAGGGGUGCAAAACAUGUUUUUACCGCCUCAACACUUAUAUUAGUUCUGUAUAUCAUUCAUUUGUUGUGUCACCCAAAAUAUGUGUUUUCAGAUUUUUCUGCCACAGGCCUUCAUCCUUUGCUGAGGUUGGAGGUUUAUGUUGAAGUCCGGUCUCCUCCCUCCCCUCACAGACGGGCAGCUGUUGCAGUGACUCAGUAUCAUGGAGGCGUGCAGCAGGACUGCAGCAACGACACACGGCAGAGCUCCAACACCUCUGAGAGAUGCAUGCAGUCAUGAUCCUUGUGAAGGGAUCAGGCAUUAUCGUUCAAUCUCACGGUGGUCUAAUCUGUUGGAGGAAGGCGGAGUGUGGGAUGUUCUGGAACAAAAUCACUCACUCUCUUUUGUCUACCGAAUGAAUCGUCUGAACUCUAGCCUUUUAUUCCCAUUCUAAAGGCUUUCCAAUGCUUAAAGCUGUUCCAGCUCACCUUUCCUUACCCCAGGAGUGUUUCACUUUAGCCCUGUUCUUUGUUAUUUAGGGUGGAUUCAGUUGUGACGGACUGAGUGACUGAUUGAAGCGAUAUCCUUGUGUUUUGCAAAACAUACAAUAGUGUGCUUUUUACUGCCACUAAUCUGAUCUUCUGUAACGUCUCCUUGUUUCGACCCUCCUGGCCAUGUUCUUAGCUGCAGGGUGAACUGGGUAAUGCCCUGGACAUUUUCUGAAAUGGACAGAUCAUUUCAUGAUGUGUAUGUGAAAUGGGAGCUUUUACUUUUGGAGACUAACAAUGAAUGUAACUUUUGAGUAUUAUUCAUUAUGAUUGGCUUUUAAAGUGUUAUUUUCUCACAUAAUAGGUUUGUGUAAUCUUGAUAGUUUAACUACUACACAUCCUAAACAGCUUUACUAACUGAUUAAAGACAAUAUAGAGGUUCAAUACCCUCAUUAACAAAUCCGAUUUUUUAAUUUUCUUAUAUACAAGAUCCUAACACACACUCAAAAUGCAUUAGGACUGGUGUGUGUUUGUUGAGCAGCUUUACUCUUGUGUUAUUGACACAGCUCGGCCUUGGUGAACUUGUAGCUUGUUGGUUGGUUAUUUUUUCACCUGCGUCAUGAGUUCAGUGUAAUGAGUGGUGCCUCUCAACUUGGUUAGUUUAUUGUCUGCAUGUCCUGCUUGAUUAGGCAGCCAUAAGUGAGAAAAAGAAAUGGACCAGAAGGAAUGUAUCAGAUGGCGCAGUGGGCUUUGAACAUGCCCGGGACAUAUAAGAGCUGUUGGCUUCUAAGAUCUAAGUUUAGGUCCCCAAAAAGAAUUUAGGGAUUUAAAAAAAAAAAAAACUUUAAUGCAGUGCUGAAUUUUCAUCAGCCAUUACUCUAGUCUUUAGUGUCACAUGAUCCUUCAGAAAUCAUUCUAAUAUGCUGAUUUAUUCUCAGUAUGGAAACUGUUGUGCUGCUUAAUAUUUUUUUUGGAACCUGUGAUACUUUUUCUUUGAUUCUUUGAUGAAUGAAAAGUUAAAAAGAACAGCAUUAUUUAAAACAGAAAUCUUUUCUAACAAUAUAAGUCUUUACUAUCACUUUUAAUCCAUUUAACACAUCCUUGCUGAAUAAAAAUAUUAAUAAAAAAAAAAAUGUACUGACCCCAAACUUUUAAAUACUUGUGUAUGUUGUAACACAAAAUUUCUAUUUUGAAUAAACACUGUUCUUUUUAACUCUUUAUUUAUCAAAGAAUUCUAAAAAAAAAAUUACAGGCCCCAAAAAAAUAUUAACUAUUUCGUACAUUGAUAAUAAAUCAGCAUAUUACAGUGAUUUCUGAAGGAUUCAUGUGACAAUGAAGACUGGAGUAAUGAUGCUGUUAAAAUUCAGCUUUUGCAUCACAGGAUAAAUUAUAUUUUAAAUUAUUAAAAUAGAAACUGCUGUUUUAAAUUGCAGUAAUAUUUCACAAAAUAACAGGGUUUUUUUCUGUAUUUUUGGUCAAAUAAAUACAGCCUUGAUGAGCACAAGAAACUUAAAAAAAAAUGUGAAAAAUCUUACUGAUCCCAAACUUUUGAAUGGUAGUGUAUAUAUUAAUAGAAGUUUAUUAAUUUGCUAAUACAGCAUGUAUUUCUUUUGUGUUCACAACAUAUGGUAGUGUAAAGUUUGAUUUUUUUUUUGGUAACCUGUGAUACUUUUUCUUUUGUAUUCUUUGAUGAAUGAAAAGUUAAAAAGAAACAGCAUUAUUUAAAACAGAAAUCUUUUCUAACAAUAUAAGUCUUUACUAUCACUUUUAAUCCAUUUAACACAUCCUUGCUGAAUAAAAAUAUUAAUAAAAAAAAAAAUAGUACUGACCCCAAACUUUUAAAUACUUGUGUAUGUUGUAACACAAAAUUUCUAUUUUGAAUAAACACUGUUCUUUUUAACUCUUUAUUUAUCAAAGAAUUCUAAAAAAAAAUUACAGGCCCCAAAAAUAUUAACUAUUUCGUACAUUGAUAAUAAAUCAGCAUAUUACAGUGAUUUCUGAAGGAUCAUGUGACAAUGAAGACUGGAGUAAUGAUGCUGAAAAUUCAGCUUUGCAUCACAGGAUAAAUUAUAUUUUAAAUUAUUAAAAUAGAAACUGCUGUUUUAAAUUGCAGUAAUAUUUCACAAAAUAACAGGGUUUUUUUCUGAUUUUUGGUCAAUAAAUACAGCCUUGAUGAGCACAAGACUUAAAAAAAAUGUGAAAAAUCUUACUGAUCCCAAACUUUUGAAUGGUAGUGUAUAUAUUAAUAGAAGUUUAUUAAUUUGCUAAUACAGCAUGUAUUUCUUUUGUGUCACAACAUAUGGUAGUGUAAAGUUUGAAUAUGCAUAAGUGUGAAUGAGAUUUGAGAAUCAUCACAGAGGGAUAUUUUUCAUUCAGCUGUGUAUAUAUUAAUAGAAGUUUAUUAAUUUGCUAAUACAGCAUGUAUUUCUUUUGUGUCACAACAUAUGGUAGUGUAAAGUUUGAAUAUGCAUAAGUGUGAAUGAGAUUUGAGAAUCAUCACAGAGGGAUAUUUUUUCAUUCAGCUGAAAUACAAAACUGAAAAUUUCCAAAUAUUUUAAAACACUUGCUCAUUUUCUAAACGAUUUAGAGGAAAAACUUGGCAUCAUACACAAACCAAAUGAGGAUCACACACUAACACACUUUUUUUAAAUUGUUUCCGGACACAACAAAGUCACAAGAAACACAUUUCGUUGUUGAGAGAUGCAUUCAUCCGUGCUUUUAAAUCAGCUCAAAAUAUGUACUGUAGAUGUUUGAUAUCCUCCUUGAUAUCCUAUAUUAAGAUGUUCGAUAUCCUCCAACUGGACAGAUUCAUACUAUAAAG